rnacentral:rRNA from 1 species
AAUAGAAUGCAAGUCAGAGCGAACAGAAGGGAGCUUGCUCCCGGAUGUUAGCGGCGGACGGGUGAGUAACACGUGGGUAACCUGCCUGUAAGACUGGGAUAACUCCGGGAAACCGGAGCUAAUACCGGAUAGUUCCUUGAACCGCAUGGUUCAAGGAUGAAAGACGGUUUCGGCUGUCACUUACAGAUGGACCCGCGGCGCAUUAGCUAGUUGGUGGGGUAAUGGCUCACCAAGGCGACGAUGCGUAGCCGACCUGAGAGGGUGAUCGGCCACACUGGGACUGAGACACGGCCCAGACUCCUACGGGAGGCAGCAGUAGGGAAUCUUCCGCAAUGGACGAAAGUCUGACGGAGCAACGCCGCGUGAGUGAUGAAGGUUUUCGGAUCGUAAAGCUCUGUUGUUAGGGAAGAACAAGUGCGAGAGUAACUGCUCGCACCUUGACGGUACCUAACCAGAAAGCCACGGCUAACUACGUGCCAGCAGCCGCGGUAAUACGUAGGUGGCAAGCGUUGUCCGGAAUUAUUGGGCGUAAAGGGCUCGCAGGCGGUUUCUUAAGUCUGAUGUGAAAGCCCCCGGCUCAACCGGGGAGGGUCAUUGGAAACUGGGAAACUUGAGUGCAGAAGAGGAGAGUGGAAUUCCACGUGUAGCGGUGAAAUGCGUAGAGAUGUGGAGGAACACCAGUGGCGAAGGCGACUCUCUGGUCUGUAACUGACGCUGAGGAGCGAAAGCGUGGGGAGCGAACAGGAUUAGAUACCCUGGUAGUCCACGCCGUAAACGAUGAGUGCUAAGUGGUUAGGGGGUUUCCGCCCCUUAGUGCUGCAGCUAACGCAUUAAGCACUCCGCCUGGGGAGUACGGUCGCAAGACUGAAACUCAAAGGAAUUGACGGGGGCCCGCACAGCGGUGGAACAUGUGGUUUAAUUCGAAGCCACGCGAAGAACCUUACCAGGUCUUGACUCCUCUGACACCCUAGAGAUAGGCUUUCCUUCGGGACAAAUGA